rnacentral:rRNA from 1 species
GGCGAACGGGUGAGUAAUAUAUCGGAACGUGCCCAAUAGUGGGGGAUAGCCCGGCGAAAGCCGGAUUAAUACCGCAUGAGACCUGAGGGUGAAAGCGGGGGAUUCGCAAGAACCUCGCGCUAUUGGAGCGGCCGAUAUCAGAUUAGGUAGUUGGUGGGGUAAAAGCCUACCAAGCCGACGAUCUGUAGCUGGUCUGAGAGGACGACCAGCCACACUGGGACUGAGACACGGCCCAGACUCCUACGGGAGGCAGCAGUGGGGAAUUUUGGACAAUGGGCGAAAGCCUGAUCCAGCCAUGCCGCGUGCGGGAAGAAGGCCUUCGGGUUGUAAACCGCUUUUGUCAGGGAAGAAAUCCUCCGAGUUAACACCUUGGAGGGAUGACGGUACCUGAAGAAUAAGCACCGGCUAACUACGUGCCAGCAGCCGCGGUAAUACGUAGGGUGCGAGCGUUAAUCGGAAUUACUGGGCGUAAAGCGUGCGCAGGCGGUCUUGCAAGACAGGUGUGAAAUCCCCGGGCUUAACCUGGGAACUGCACUUGUGACUGCAAGGCUGGAGUACGGCAGAGGGGGAUGGAAUUCCGCGUGUAGCAGUGAAAUGCGUAGAUAUGCGGAGGAACACCGAUGGCGAAGGCAAUCCCCUGGG